rnacentral:rRNA from 1 species
UCCCUGAUGUUAGCGGCGGACGGGUGAGUAACACGUGGGUAACCUGCCUGUAAGACUGGGAUAACUCCGGGAAACCGGGGCUAAUACCGGAUGCUUGUUUGAACCGCAUGGUUCAAACAUAAAAGGUGGCUUCGGCUACCACUUACAGAUGGACCCGCGGCGCAUUAGCUAGUUGGUGAGGUAACGGCUCACCAAGGCAACGAUGCGUAGCCGACCUGAGAGGGUGAUCGGCCACACUGGGACUGAGACACGGCCCAGACUCCUACGGGAGGCAGCAGUAGGGAAUCUUCCGCAAUGGACGAAAGUCUGACGGAGCAACGCCGCGUGAGUGAUGAAGGUUUUCGGAUCGUAAAGCUCUGUUGUUAGGGAAGAACAAGUACCGUUCGAAUAGGGCGGUACCUUGACGGUACCUAACCAGAAAGCCACGGCUAACUACGUGCCAGCAGCCGCGGUAAUACGUAGGUGGCAAGCGUUGUCCGGAAUUAUUGGGCGUAAAGGGCUCGCAGGCGGUUCCUUAAGUCUGAUGUGAAAGCCCCCGGCUCAACCGGGGAGGGUCAUUGGAAACUGGGGAACUUGAGUGCAGAAGAGGAGAGUGGAAUUCCACGUGUAGCGGUGAAAUGCGUAGAGAUGUGGAGGAACACCAGUGGCGAAGGCGACUCUCUGGUCUGUAACUGACGCUGAGGAGCGAAAGCGUGGGGAGCGAACAGGAUUAGAUACCCUGGUAGUCCACGCCGUAAACGAUGAGUGCUAAGUGUUAGGGGUUUCCGCCCCUUAGUGCUGCAGCUAACGCAUUAAGCACUCCGCCUGGGGAGUACGGUCGCAAGACUGAAACUCAAAGGAAUUGACGGGGGCCCGCACAAGCGGUGGAG